UGGGCUAUAGCCAAGCGGUAAGGCAGCGGAUUUUGAUUCCGUCACGCGAAGGUUCGAAUCCUUCUAGCCCAG
rnacentral:tRNA from 2 species